UAAAUGGGACCUAAUCUGAUGACGGCAAAACGAGGGGGUACCAAAUGCGCAAUUAACUCAAAUCAACUAAGUGCGCGGAUCCUCCCCAAGUCGGGUCGGUUCACGCGCGGGUUCCUCCAUGCCUUGAACGGCACCGUUUUGAAGCCAUUGAAAUUGGCCCAAAACGACGCCAUCUGAUUGACGUACAAAAGCUAGCAAAUCAGGUAAAAAAAACCUAAGUAUCUCUAGAUGCUCUCAACCUCUUCAUCCGAAUGCCGAUUCCGGUGAAAAGAAGGCAAUUGUGGUAGCAACGGACAAGUUUCAAGUUCGAUUGUACGGAGGAGAACGCUUGUGGGGAUGAUGUGGAUGAGGCUCGGAGGCUCUGCGGAAUCGCUCAUGGGAGCCUGACUCCCUGGCAUUGUUCUGGCACGUUCUAGAAGCUUCUGGUGCGUGUGAACUUGGUGGCUUAGGGUUUUUUGAGUGUUUUUUUGUUUUGGGUCAGGAUUUGGGUUAGGGGUUUAUUUUAUUUUGGGCUAAAUAAUUGGGCUUGUAACAGGGACAUUGGACCUAAUUAUUUUAGUUUUAUUUUGGUUUUGGUUCUGGUGUAAGCCCGAGCAGAUUUGGGCCUAUACAGAACUGAUUAAACUAUAAUUUUUUAUUCAAUCAAGUGAUCUGAUCAAAUUCUGGCAA